CUCAAGGAACACUGUUGUCUGGGUAUUCCAAUGAUAGCAAUUUGCUGGUACCACCCUUCCCCCAGCUUCAUUUUCUGAUGGAGAUGGUGACACCACGAGGGACCCUCUUUACUGAGAAGAAUGACAGCAUUACCUCUGAGUGUGGCUGGAGUACAAUGGCGCGAUCUCGGCUCACUGCAACCUCUGCCUCAUGGGUUCAAGAGAUUCUCCUGCCUCAGCCUCCCGAGUAGAUGGGAUUACAGAAUGUGUAUUUUCAUAUUGACACAGCCAACCCCUUCUCCCUGAAGAUCAGAGCUCAUGGUGUCUACACAUGGACCAAACAGCUGAUGACAGGCCAACACACAUCCCAAUUGCCAAAAGACUCAGAAGCACAACUUCAACUUCUUAUUCUUCUUCGCAAUUCAAACCUCAGACCAAAAUAAACUGUAUCUCUUUUUUAAGUCAACCAUUUCUUAAGCCAUUUAGUACCACACACCUUGAAUAACUGAUUUCAUCUCAUUUAUGUAUAUUGAGCUGCCUUACAUAUCUUUGAUGGAAGCCAGUACCUUAAAGUUAUCCAUUUAUCUACUGUACUGAGUGUGCCUCUGUUUGGAUUUAGCUGUCAACACUUCACACAUGUGAAAUCAAUCUGUGUGAUAUUAAUGUAAACACUGUGCAUUACAAAGUGGUGGACAUUUUAUUGUUCUAACAACAAAAAUAGACAAAAAUGUUUGUAUGUGUUUGUUUUUUCUAUGGCAUACGAAAUAACACAAUAUAAGCGACAGCAUGCAUUUUACAAAGAGGAAUCAUUUAAAAAGGUAAAAGCAAGGUAGGGGUUGUUGGAGAAUGCUUGAUUCUCCAGGCUAUUCUAACAGGACGGUGGAGGCAGGAAUUAUGCACAGAAUAAAGAUUCUUAUGAAGAAAAAAUUGCCAUUCACAUCACUUUCCCCACAUUGGUAUUACAAGCU